AGAAUGAAGCAAUUUUGCAAUCAGUUUCGACCUGAAUAAAUGGAACCCCCCCCCAUUCUU
rnacentral:tRNA from 1 species